CUACGGGGUGCAGCAGUGAGGAAUAUUGCACAAUGGGGGGAACCCUGAUGCAGCAACGCCGCGUGGAGGAUGACGCAUUUCGGUGUGUAAACUCCUUUUAUAUGUCAAGAAAAUGACGGUAGCAUAUGAAUAAGCACCGGCUAACUCCGUGCCAGCAGCCGCGGUAAUACGGAGGGUGCAAGCGUUACUCGGAAUCACUGGGCGUAAAGGACGCGUAGGCGGGUUGGAAAGUCAGGUGUGAAAUCCUACAGCUUAACUGUAGAACUGCACUUGAAACUUCUAAUCUAGAGUAUGGGAGGGGGAGAUGGAAUUAGUGGUGUAGGGAUAAAAUCCGUAGAUAUCACUAGGAAUACCUGAGGCGAAGGCGAUCUCCUGGAACAUUACUGACGCUAAGGCGUGAAAGCGUGGGGAGCAAACAGGAUUAAAUACCCGUGUAGUC
rnacentral:rRNA from 1 species